rnacentral:rRNA from 1 species
GCGGCCUAUCAGCUUGUUGGUGAGGUAAAAGCUCACCAAGGCGACGACGGGUAUCCGGCCUGAGAGGGCGACCGGACACACUGGGACUGAGACACGGCCCAGACUCCUACGGGAGGCAGCAGUGGGGAAUAUUGCGCAAUGGGCGAAAGCCUGACGCAGCGACGCCGCGUGAGGGAUGAAGGUCUUCGGAUUGUAAACCUCUUUCAGCAGGGACGAAGCGAAAGUGACGGUACCUGCAGAAGAAGCACCGGCUAACUACGUGCCAGCAGCCGCGGUAAUACGUAGGGUGCAAGCGUUGUCCGGAUUUAUUGGGCGUAAAGAGCUCGUAGGCGGUUAGACACGUCGGAUGUGAAAACUGGGGGCUCAACCCCCAGCCUGCAUUCGAUACGGUCUGACUAGAGUGUGGUAGGGGAGACUGGAAUUCCU